rnacentral:rRNA from 1 species
CCUACGGGUGGCAGCAGUGGGGGAUAUUGCACAAUGGGGGGAACCCUGAUGCAGCGACGCCGCGUGGGUGAAGGAGUGCUUCGGCAUGUAAAGCCCUAUCGGCAGGGAAGAAGCAAGACGGUACCUGACUAAGAAGCCCCGGCUAACUACGUGCCAGCAGCCGCGGUAAUACGUAGGGGGCGAGCGUUAUCCGUCUUCCCUGGGUGUAAAGGGCGUGUGGACGGCCAUGCAAGCCAGGGGUGAAAGCCCGGGGCCCAACCCCGGGACUGCCCUUGGAACUGGGCGGCUAGAGUGCGGGAGGGGCAGGCGGAAUUCCUGGUGUAGCGGUGAAAUGCGUAGAUAUCAGGAGGAACACCGGCGGCGAAGGCGGCCUGCUGGACUGCGACUGACGUUGAGGCUCGAAAGCGUGGGGAGCGAACAGGAUUAGAUACCCUGGUAGUC